AUGGUCCCUGCGGAUGCUAA
rnacentral:siRNA from 1 species